AGAAUCAACGCUGGCGGCGUGCCUAACACAUGCAAGUCGAACGAGAAAGUGGAGCAAUCCAUGAGUAAAGUGGCGCACGGGUGAGUAACACGUGACUAACCUACCCUUGAGUGGGGGAUAACCUAGAGAAAUCUGGGCUAAUACCGCAUAAUACCUUCGGGUCAAAGGAGCAAUUCGCUUAAGGAGGGGGUCGCGGCCGAUUAGUUAGUUGGCGGGGUAAUGGCCCACCAAGACUAUGAUCGG
rnacentral:rRNA from 1 species